ACUAUUGUAGGUAUAUUGUUUGUUUUAGCUUCAUGAUUUUGAAUGGUUUCAUAAAAUUGCUAUUUUAUUGGGUAAUAUUUUAAUUGAUAAUGUUGUUUGUUUUUCAGCUGUGCUGUCUCUGCUGUCCUUUUUUUUUGUUCUUUUGAUUGAUUUGUAAUUUUGUUUUGGUUAGUCCGUCCAGCCGUAAAGGCGGUUAUUGAUUGAGAGUAAGUUGUGUAAGGGCGGACUAACCUCCCUUUUGUUUUUUGUUUAAUUGUUUGUGCCCCUUCCCUUUAUCUCCCAGAUCGCAGGCCAUGCAUAGCACUGAUUCCCAGCUGCGCUGAGACCCGAAUUGUUUGCAGUGUGUGCCACGAUUGCAGUGUCGCUAAGCGGGGUGUGACGGGUUGCAGUGUUGUUAUUUUCGCACCGUUGGUGUGACCAGAAAAACAUCACAGCUGAGUCUGGACAGAACGUCACUCUGACAUGUCGAGCUUCAAACAACAUCAUAGUUGUAAAAUGGAUCAGAGCUGAUCUGAAGUCAGAUUAUGUCCCUUUUUUCCCCCCCAGGAUGAUCUGUUUGUUCCAGCCAACCAGCAUCAGACAGACUGUGAACGCUUACAGGCAAACAUCACACUCAUGAUCAGUGAUUCAUUUUUCUCUGAACUUUAAAUUAAAUACAUUUUACUUCAUGUAGUUGUUUGUUCUGAGUCACUUUAUAAGACCCUUUCUGACCUGUACAGUCUGUUGAUGGUGUUUGUCUCCUGCACUGUAAGUAAAGUUUCUUGACAUGAAUGUUGUUUCCUGUUGCUUCAUGAGUAAAACAGAACUGAAACAUAAUGUGAGCUGGAAUCAAUCCAUAGUUGGUUUGUGGGAAAUCAUUUUUCUUGCUUUUCACCACAAAAAAUGACCACACCGACCAGCCAAUCGGUGACAUCAGCUUACUACCUGCUCAGAUCGCUUGGAAACCCGGCCGAGCAGGUACUAAAGAAAUACCUGGUACCAGGUACUGAUGACCAUUCACACUCACAUUCACACCUCUGGGCGAUUCAGAAUCACCAGUGAACUUAACCCCACUGACUGCAUCUCUGUGGACUGUGGGAGGAAGCUGGAGUACCUGAAGAGAACCCACACAAACACAAGGAGAACAUGCAAACCCCCCACAGAGACUCCCCGACCAGGUGGUGGAUGCAAAGCCUGGGUGUCACCAUGUGGCCCUCUUAAAAAUGUAUUUAGGUACUUUAAAUAUACACAACAUGUAAACUAUAAAAAUAAUAAAUGAAAGUUAUAAUGCCACUUAUGUCAGCUGUAACUCGUCUGGACUCUAAUUUUACAGUUUUGAUUUUAUUAUUGAGUGUCGGUGCA